UACGUAGGGGGCUAGCGUUGUCCGGAUUUAUUGGGCGUAAAGAGCGUGUAGGCGGCCAGGUAGGUCUGCUGUGAAAACUCGAGGCUCAACCUCGAGACGUCGGCGGAAACCAUCUGGCUAGAGUCCGGAAGAGGCGAGUGGAACUCCUGGUGUAGCGGUGGAAUGCGCAGAUAUCAGGAAGAACACCAACGGCGAAGGCAGCUCGCUAGGACGGUACUGACGCUGAGACGCGAAAGCGUGGGGAGCGAACAGG
rnacentral:rRNA from 1 species